UCCUGCUAAGUCACAGGAAGGUGACGAAUGCAAGGACAGUCCUAGGAGUGUGCCAGGCUGUCCCCUCUCUGGGUUGUGAAAGCAGCAGAUGGCUCCAGCCUGCACGACAAACCCAGCCACAGGAUAAAAGUGCUCCUACCUUGGGCUCCUCACCCGCAGCAUCCUCAGGAACAGCUUUAUCCUGCCUCCUCUGUAUCUGAUCAACCUCCUGCCGCGAUGUCCUGCCAGCAGAGCCAGCAGCAGUGCCAGCCUCCUUCCAAGUGCCCCCCAUUGCCCAAGUGCCCCCCGAAGAGCCCAGCACAGUGCUUGCCCCCAGCCUCCUCCAGCUGUGCUCCAGGCUCCGGGGCCAGCUGUGACCCCAGCUCCGGGGGGUGACUGCUGCCUGAGCCACCGCAGGUGCCACGGAUCCCAUGGAGGCCGGCGCCACAGCUCCAGCUCCUGUGAUGGUGGCAGUGCGCUGCAGUCCAGGGUCUCUGGGUGUGGCCAUGGCUCUGUGGGUGGUUGCUGACUUGGGAUCCUGAUGCUGAGACAAGUGCUCCUAGAGGGAAUGAGAAUCGAAAGUGCCUGGGAAAUCUGGUGAUGCAGACUUUCCAACAUCCCCUAAUCUCCCUUUCCUGGCUGAGCACAUGAUCUGUUCAUGGAGAUGGGGAAGUGGUGAGCUCUCCCCAGAGGGUUCUGUAGAUGUCUUUUCCAGGAGCCCACAUGGUGCUUCAUAGCAUUAUCACCUCUGUCUGACAAGGUAGAAAAAUAAAGCUUCUUGUUACAUCAA